UGAAACGUGUGGUCAAACAGUUUGGUGUCAGUUUAAUCCUCCUGAUGUUGGACAUUCACACCGUGCCCAUGCUGGAGGUGUGACACCAUGAGCAUGGAACCUCCCCAAAGAAAUCCGGGUUUCAAGGAGCAUUGGCUGUGAGAGAAUAGUAUUGGUGAUCAUGUAUUGAAACUUGAUCAGAGCCUCGCAUCAAGUCUGGGAUGAAGUACAAUCAAACUGACACUGCCCUCUGGAUGACUUGCAGUGAGAGGUUUCUCCUGGGCUAAUUAUCCCGACGACUAAAAGAACAGCUGAGUGGAAUCAGAACGCGUUCACAGGGCCGUCACACCCAGCUCAGCCCUUUGGUUUACCUCGAUGAAUUUAGCAAACGAAACUCCUGUGAACCCGCAUAACGUGCGCCUGCUUACACGCAGCUGCGCUGCCCUGCGCUCCCAGACAGAACGCGGCGGUGCGACAAAGGCUUUUAGUGGAAAGUGUUGCUGAGCGAAGUUCCGUUUUCUGACGGGCGCACAGAGGCGCGAGGCGAGGCCGCCCUGCAGGAGGAGCGCCUUCGUUUCCGCGCACGAGAGAAGCGGCCGCUGCCGUCGAUGCCCGUCGGGGAGCACAUCAGGGAGGAUGCUAUGCUCAAACUGCUCGUGUGAUUUAGCCAGCGUGGGUACAGCAGCAACAAAAAGAAGAGCUUUGGCACGGUUUGGCCAGCUGGUCUGCUUCAGGUCCUGAGCACAGCUCUUGCUCUGGUUGUAAGGACAGCUUCGUGUUGGUGAAGGCCAAGUCCCAGUGCACACAAGCUCUGACACACGGGCAGCUCUGGAGGUGCCUCACUGUGUGCUGCACUCCACGUGUCAGGGAUGCAGUGUUCUCCCCUAAGCAGGCUGCAAUCACAUCUCUGAUGGGAACACUCUGGAUUAGGCAUUUGAAAGUGAGCAGCCCUCCUCCUGUGGUGGGGCAGAUCCUCAUCCUCUGCAGGUGUGAAAAGGGAGCGCGGCCAGUUGAAGUGUGCCAGGCUGCAGGCGGCAUGAUGUGCUGGGAGCAGCCAGCAGAAGAACACAUGGAACUACACUGCACAACAAACUGUUGUGACAUGAGGAUGGGCUGUCCCGACAUGAAGAUGGGCUGUCGUGACAUGAGGAUGGGCUGUCGUGACAUGAGGAUGCUGUCACAACACGCCAAGUUUCUGGGUGCAGGUGGGAGCUGUCCAGCAGGGCCUGGAGCUGCAGGGGCUCCCAGCUGCUGCUCUGCCUCACAUCCUGGGAGCCACCGACUCUGUUCUGCUGCACCAGGCAAACACCAGGGGUUGGUUUCAUCUCCUGUAAAAGCAAGAGAAACGGUGUGCAGUGAGUCCUCCCUUCUUUAUGAGCACACACACACACACACACGGUUUGUGGCCUCGGUGUUGGUGCCAAACAAGCUCAGCACAGCUGUGGCAGCCCUCCAUCCCUGCUGGAAAGGAAGCACCCACCUGCACAGGUCACUGUGGGAAACACAAAACUGA
rnacentral:lncRNA from 1 species